rnacentral:rRNA from 1 species
UACGUAGGGUGCAAGCGUUAAUCGGAAUUACUGGGCGUAAAGCGUGCGCAGGCGGCUUUGCAAGACAGAUGUGAAAUCCCCGGGCUUAACCUGGGAACUGCAUUUGUGACUGCAUCGCUGGAGCGCGGCAGAGGGGGAUGGAAUUCCGCGUGUAGCAGUGAAAUGCGUAGAUAUGCGGAGGAACACCGAUGGCGAAGGCAAUCCCCUGGGCCUGCACUGACGCUCACGCACGAAAGCGUGGGGAGCAAACAGG